UACGUAGGGUGCGAGCGUUGUCCGGAAUUACUGGGCGUAAAGAGCUCGUAGGUGGUUUGUCGCGUUGUCCGUGAAAACUCACAACUCAAUUGUGGGCGUGCGGGCGAUACGGGCAGACUGGAGUACUGCAGGGGAGACUGGAAUUCCUGGUGUAGCGGUGAAAUGCGCAGAUAUCAGGAAGAACACCCGUGGCGAAAGCGGCUCUCUGGAACGGUACUGACGCUGAGACGCGAAAGCGUGGGGAGCGAACAGG
rnacentral:rRNA from 1 species